AUAUGGAGUUCCCAGCCAGGGAUCAUAUUUGAGCUCCAGUUAUGGCCUAAGCAGCUGCUGCGGCAAUGCCAGAUCCUUAACCCACUGUGACAGGCCAGUGAUAGAACCCUUGUCUCAGUGCUCCAAAACACCACCAAUCCCAUUGCACACAGCAGGAACUCCCAGAUUCUUUUGCCAUAUAGAUUAUGGCAGAAUAUUGGGUAGAGUUCCCUGCAGGUCCCCCUCCUGGACACUAGGCACUCCAGUUACUAGUCAUUGUGACAACUAAAAACUUAAUCCAUGAUUUCCACAUAAGGGAAAAGAGUUUCCCCAUAGCCCUCACAAGUAGUACCAAUUUCUUCUCUCAAGUGCCUCUUACCACUGGGCCUGGCGGUGGGCUAAAAAUCCCCCUACUGCUUUUCACUACUUCUAGAUCCUUUUCUCUUGCUCCUUCCCCCAAACUCCAGCUUUGAUUUCAUUUCUUCCCACCAUAAUAUGUACUGAUUUCCUUUAUCACAGGGGUAUCCCUUGAAGACUCCUCGUAAUUCCUUGAAGAUCUUAGCCCUCACUCAUCAUCAGUCAAGCCAACACUACUCUAUCCUAAUUCCUGGUGAGUGUAAUAUUUACCAUGACCCCACAGUUCCCUGACUUUCUCUCUUCUCUUUUCCAGUGACCUCAUCUGUCCUUCAAAAGAGAACCUCCAGAGCUUCCCACUAUAACAUCCACCUACUUCUUUGUUUCUGUGCCACAUACAGCUUUCCUUUUUACUACAAAUGAACUGCCCCUGCGCCUAUCUGGACCAACACAUUCUCUAGCAUCCUAACCCCAUAUUCUCUUGCCUACUCAAGGACAUGGCUCGAGCAAAUCACUUCUCUCACCUGUAUCACCAAUUUUUCCCUUUCCACUGGGUUAUUACUUUCAACAUUCAAGUACACUGCAAUUCCACCCAUCUUGAAAUGUUAAUAUACUCACCUUGUUUUUACCCUACUUUACUGGCCACUUUGCCAUAGCCUUCCUUGCUGGUUCUGCCUUAUCCUCCUGACUUCUAACAAUCGGAGGGCCCCAGGGCUCAGUUCACGGUCUUUUUCACUUCCUAUGCUAGUGAUUCCAUCUAGUUUAAUGGCUUUAAAUGCCACACACAUGAACAACUCCAGAAGUUAUUUCUCCAGCCCUCUCCUCUGAAUUCUAGACUCAUAUAUCUAAAACCCUACUUGAUAUAUCUACCUGGAAACCUGAUAAAUGCUUUUUAUUUUUUAGGUUUUUUUUGACCACGCCCAGGGCAUGUGGAAGUUCCCCGGCCAGAGAUGAACUCAAACUGCAGUUGUGACCUGCCCCACAGCUGCAGUAAGCCCGAUUCUUAACCAGCUGACAAGGUAACUUUCCCUGAUAAAUGCUUUUAACUGCAAAUGUUCAAAGUCAAACUUCUUAUCUUUUCUGAUACAAAAACAUUCCUUCAGUUGGGAAACGGCACACCCAUUCUUCAGUUGCUCAGACCAUACUCCUGGUAUUGUUUGAUUUCUCUCUCAUGCUCUACAUAUACUUUAUUAGCAAAAUUUUUUGGCUUACCAUUAAAAUCAUACCCCAAAUUCAAUCAGCACUUAUAUAGCUCCAUUACCAACAUUCCAGUCCAAACCAUCGCUUUUUAAAAACUGUAGUAACAGCUUUCUAAUUCAGUUUCUUAUAUUCAUUUUUACCCUCCUAGAGUCUAAUUUCAACACAGAAAUCACAGUGAUCUCUAGAGACUUCAGAUCAUGUUAGUAUGUUGCUCAAAAUCCUGCAUUCAUUUGGAGUAAAUGUGAAAGUCCUUACAAUGGCCCACAAGACCACAUGGAAUCUAAUCCCCCUGGCACUAUUCCACAUGUCCCCUCUUUUAUGUCUUAGAAUAAAUAACUGGAGAGUAGGAUAGAUUCAACAUACAUUUGGAGGUUAGAACUAUUAAAACCUGCCAAUGGAUUGGAUGUGUUAAGACCAGGGAAAGAGGAGUUCCCAUCGUGGCGCAGUGAUUAAUGAAUCCGACUAGGAGCCAUGAGGUUGUGGGUUCGAUCCUUGCCCUUGCUCAGUGGGUUAAGGAUCUGGCAUUGCCAUGAGCAGUGGUGUAGGUUGCAGCUGGGAUCCCACAUUGCCGUGGCUGUGGGUAGGCCUGCGGCUACAGCUCCAAUUACAGCCCUAGCCUUGGAACCUCCAUAUACCAUGGAAGCAGCCCUAGAAAAGGCAAAAAGACCAAAAAAAAAAAAAGACAAGGGAAAGAGGAACAAUUACACAUGAGUAGAAUGGGCUUGAUUUGUAUAUGGAUGGGGUUAUAUGAAUAGGUAAGAAACCUUUCAUGUACAUUUUAGGUUUUAGGUCCUACUACACAUGUAAGUGAAGAUUAUGCAUAUGUAACUGGUUAUACAAAUCUGGUAAGAGAAAACUAAGUGUGAUUUCAUUGAGCAAUAGAAACUAAAAUGCUGUUUUGAAAAGGAUGCAGUGGUAAACUAUAUUUGAUGUGCUAAGAGUGAAUAAAAUCAGGUCAGAGGUUGACAAUGAAUUAGACAAAUGUAGGUCAUUGAUGACCUUGGGAAGAUUGAGUCAGUGGAGUUGUAGGAUGAAUGAAGGAAAGAAUAAGGGGAGUUAAAUGGAGGAGAGUUUAUAUAACCAGUUUGACAGCAGGAAGGUAAGUUGGUUCUUUUCUGAUUAUAAUCAUUUUUUUAAUUACUCAAUGAAUUUUAUUAUAUUUAUAGUUGUACAACAAUUAACACAACUCAAUUUUAUAGCAUUUCCAUCCCAAACCCCCUACUCAUCCCCCCAUGCCCCAAUCUGUCUCAUUUGGAAACCAUAAGUUUUUCAAAGUCUGUGCGUCAGUAUCGGUUCUGCAAAGAAGUUUAUUGUAUCCUUUUUUGAGAUUCCACAUGUGAUAGCACAUGAUGUUGGUAUCUCACUGUCUAACUUCACUCAGCAUGAUAAUCUCUAGGUGUAUCCAUGUUGCUACAAAUGCCAUUAUUUCCUACCUUUUAAUGGCUGAGUAACAUUCCAUUGUGUAUAUGUACCACAUCUUCUUGAUCCACUCCUCCGUCCAUGGACAUUUAGGUUGUUUCCAUGUUUUGGCUAUUGUAUAUAGUGCUGCAAUGAACACUGGAGUACAUGUAUCUUUUCGAGUCAUGGUUUUCUGUGGAUAGAUGCCCAGGAAUUGGAUUGCUGGAUCAAAUGGUAAUUCUAUUUUUAGUUUUCUGAAGAAUAUCCAUACUGCUUUCCACAGUGGUUGCAUCAAUUUACAUUCCCACCAAGUGUGUAAGAGGGUUCCCUUUUCUCCAUACCCUCUCCAGCAUUUAUUGUUUGUAGACUUCUGGGUUUUUUGUUUGUUUGUUUGUUUUGUUUUGUUGUUUUGUCCUUUAAGGCUACAUCCGUGGCUUAUGGAGGUUCCCAGGCUGGGGUCUAAUUGGAGCUGUAGCCACUGGCCUAUGCCACAGCCACAGCAACAUGGGAUCGAGCUGUAUCUGCAACCUACACCACAAUUCACAGCAACGCCAGAUUCUUAACCCAAUGAGUAAGGCCAGGGAUAGAACCAACAUCCUCACGCAUACUAGUCGAGUUCACUAACCACUGAGCCACCACAGGAACUCCCUGUCUGUAGACUUCUUGAUGAUGGCCAUUCUGGCCAGUGUAAUGUGGUACCUCAUAGCAGUUUUGACUUACAUUUCUCUAAUAAUUAGGGAUGUUGAGCAUCUUUUCAUGUGCUUUUUGGCCAUCUGUAUGUCUUCUU
rnacentral:lncRNA from 1 species